ensembl:lncRNA
GCAAAAAUAUAUAAAAUACUGCAUGUUCAUAUAAAGAAAUUGUGUCUGUUAAAAACACUUGCAUAUAUUCACAUAAUUACACACCUAUAUGUAUAUAUGUGCGUACAGCAAAUAUCCUAAAAGGGUAUUUACACAAAUUAGCGUUUCCAAACACACAGGCAGGGAGAGGGGCACCAAUCAGAGGGUGAGUGAAGGUCACGUGGCUGUCACUGCGCACAGCCAAUCAGAAGGCACUGUGAAAACAGCGCCCACUCCCUGCCACGAAAUGGCAGCUGACACAAAAUGGCGGCUCCCAGUGUAUGCAAGGGGACGGGCUUCCUGUUCAAUGAACCAAUGGGAGAGCUGGAGGUGUGGGCUGGUUCUGGCAGCCAAUCCCACCAGGGUAGGUGUGGGCAGGAGGGAGGAGUUCUGGGACACGCUGCCUUGGAGGUGAGGCUGGCGGGAGCAUCUUGCAGGACUGAGGAAAAUCUCCUCAGCUAAGCUCAUACUGCCAGCAGCCCAGUGCAUAGAGCCACUCACAGGCCUUGGUGUGCUGCAGGAGGAAGGUGUUGAUCUCUUGGAGUGUUCCUUUGCCGUAGGACGGCCUCUCUGCCUGUCAGCCAGUGGCAGGGAAGGCAGCACGUGGAGCUGGAGGUUGUGCCUGCUGCAGCUCUGCUCAACAGAGCCACGUAGGUCCCUGUUCCUGAGAAAAGUUGCUGCGCUCCUCUCAGUAUUAUCUUGCAGGUGAAUCUUCCAUAACUGCUAGAGGAAUGCCCAUAAGUUAUCCUAGCAGUGGUCUGAGAGUGCAGCACGUGGUCCCUGCCACGAAAUGGCGGCUGACACAAAAUGGCAGCUCCCAGUGUACACAAGGGGACAGGCUUCCUGUUCAAGUGACCACUGGGAGAGCUGGAGGUGUGGGCUUGUUCUGGCAGCCAAUCCCACCAGGGUAGGUGUGCUCAGGAGGGAGGAGCUCUGGGACACGCUGCCUUGGAGGUGGGGCUGGCGGGAGCAUCUUGCGGGACUGAGGAAAAUCUCCUCCUCAGCUAAGCUCAUGCAGCCAGCAGCCCAGUGCAUAGAGCCAUUCACAGGCCUUGGUGUGCUGCAGGAGGAGGGUGUUGAUCUGUUGGAGUGUUCCUUGCCGUAGGAGGGCCUCUCUGUCUGGCAGCCAGUGGCAGGGAAGGCAGCACGUGGAGCUGGAGGUUGUGCCUGCUGCAGCUCUGCUCAGCUGAGCCACGUGGGCCCCUGUUCCUGAGAAAAGUUGCUGUGCUCCACUGUCUGUUAUCUUGCAGGUUUAUCUUUCAUAACUUCUUGAGCAAUAACCGUAAGUUAGCUUAGCAGUGCACUCAGAGUGCAGCACAUGGUCCCCGCCAUGAAAUGGCGGCUGACACAAAAUGGUGACUCCCAGUGUAUGCAAGGGGACGGGCUUCCUGUUCAAGUGACCACUGGGAGAGCUGGAGGUGUGGGCUGGUUGAGGCAGCCACUCCCACCAGAGUAGGUGUGGGCAGGAGGGAGGAGUUCUGGGACACGCUGCCUUGGAGGUGAGGUAUACAGGGAGUUGCUGUCAUCUGUGAGGGUUACGUAGGUAUUGGUGGCUGGAAAGUUCUGUUUUGUGACCUGCCCAUACUUCUGACGGGGUGAUGCAGAGCUGUGUUGUCUGAAUAUCUUACUUGGCAGUGAGGGUGGUUAUGCCAAUGAGUUUCAAGGUGGACCUGACAAACAUCUCUUCUGUUGCUGCACGCCAGUCCUGUGUCUGCUGCCUGCUGACCUGCUGUGCCUCCAGACCAUCAUGGCCAGAGUUGAUGAGCACAGGAACAUCUCAGUGCUCUGACUGAUCCUGGGGGCAUCAGAGUGGCCUCCCUGACUGGAGCUGGCACUCCUCUGAUGCCCCAAACAUUUGGCCCUACUCCUGCAGCCUUGCAAGGCCUGCCUGGCUGUCAUUCACAGUCUUUAUUGUGUGCUCCAC